UUAUUAUUAUUAUUAUUAAAUAGUCUAAGGGUUGCAUACACAGGCCUACUCUUAGCAGUUUCAACAAAUAAAAAGAUAGCACACAUUUUGGCAGCCAUAAAAAUGACAAGUACAUAAAGUGAAUUGUCACGAUUAGUUUAUAUUUUCCGAUGAAAUCAAUCCAAGCAUCUUUAAUCUUCUACUAUAAUUUAAAUUGUAAAUUCUAUAAAUAAAAUGUUAAACUCUAUCAAAUGUAUAAAAUCUAUAAAAAUCGAUAUCUAUAAAAUAUCUAAAAUGUACAGUUUCCUGAGGCCCACAAAAUUAUCAGUCAUAUUACUGUCUGUGUUAUUUUGUGACGUACAGUAGUAGUACUGACUGUAAUGACUGUGAUGACAGUAAUGAUUGUAAUGAUUGACUUCGUUAACAAAAAUCUCCUUGUCUAUUGUAGUGAAUUACAAUUGAAGACAAAACAAAAAAAUGUUCGAGGAUGUGGAAAAAAAAUAUGUGGAUGAGAGGGGAAAAUAUUUGCUGAUAUGGAUUAAAAAUCAAAUCUAGACAGCAAAAUGCCGAAGUAAAUUAUUAAGCGGUUCACAGUGUAAUUGUGUACAACACACACACACACACACACACACACACAUACACCAGAAUGAAAAGUAAGUAACUUCGUAUAUAUUCAUAAAUGUAGCUCUCAACAUCACAGAAAAUCUCACAAAAUUUACAAAAAUCUUUUCUGUUUAGCCUAGGGAUUGUAGAGCAUAUCUUUACAGACACGACCAACGAGGAUUUAAAAUGUACCUUGAAAGAAAGAAAGAAAGAAUUUCGCCUUCCGUUAAAACUGCGUCAUUAUGUCACGUUGUGCUAGUAAUAUUUUUAGCGAUAUGUUUUUAAUAGGAAACGUUUUGCAACAUAAAAAAUUGUGAAUAUAUAUUUGACCAGCAUUAGUCUAAAUAUUCCGGAAAUGUUUACUAAGGCCUGAGCAGGACUGUGUCUGAAGCCCUACAGGGCUGAUGGAUGAUUCCGACUGCAUGUCGCUUUUCCUGAAUUAAUACUCCUGAAUCCCCUCCUACUGUAUUCAAAGACAUCCGGUUGGACACAAAUGGAGCGCUAAUUCAACGCUGUAGAUUUGUAUAUGUGCUCCUGAGUAGCACCCCUGUUUUCCAUUGUCCUGUGGUACAUUCCAUACUGUAAAUUAUAGGCAUGCAGCCAUGGAGAAUGCCAUUACGGAGACAAGCAUCCGGGCUGUGUGCAUGCUUGUGUGAGAUAAAGUAGGCCUGCAGAUUUAAAGAGGAAUUGAGUUCUGGAUUGUGACUUUUCCAGGGGAAAUGCAGGAUGGGUAGAUUAUAACAGGGUAUGAGAUAUGUGAAAACAAGUAAAGCAAAUCAGUGGUAUUUUUUUUUAAUAGUGAUUUGACUCCUACAUUGUCAUUUGGACUGAGACAUUGUAGCUACGUGGUGUUAAUUCAGCACUGUGGAUUUUGAGUUUAGACCUUUGCUGGUUUCGGUUUAUAGCGUUCCUAUAUAUCCUGGAAGUUCAGAAUCACGGUCAAUGUUAUUUCCACCUCAGAAUCAUUGUGUAGUCAUUUUACUGUCAUGCUAAUGACCACCAUUCAUGUUGAUUUUUAUGUGCGAUCCUAGAGAGCUUAGAGACCGAAAAUCACUGACUAUCAUUUUUUACGUGGGUUUUUUUUUUCUUCUUCUUUUUUUUUAAGUGAAGCAGGUUUUGUGGAUUAAAGUAAUGUAGAAAGCAGGAAAAUUUCAAUUUAGUGUCAUGGUAAAUGAUGUGCUUUGUUAAGUGUGUGUGCGUGUGUGUGUGUGUGUGUGUGUGUAUGAGAGAGAGAGAGUGAGAGAGAGAGAGUGAGAGAGAGCGAGAGAGAGAGAGAGGCGGGGACACAGGGACCAAGGACAGCAGUGGUGAGAGCACUCGCUCUGCUUCCUCCACUCGAUCUCGAUAGUCUGUGUGUGUGUGUGUGUGUGUGUGUGCGUUUUCUUCCUCACGCAUAACGGCAUCAUUUGUUACUGAGGCAAGAGCGAAUAGAGCGACACUCUGCUUUUGCCGGCUUGGGGAUCAGGAUAACGCGGAUUUUGCGCAUUUGGCGCUACUGAGAAGUGCUUUUGUUACCAAGUCAAGAUCAUUCAUCAGCUGCGUGACUAGGCUCAACAUUGCAGAAAAGAGAGUAUGAGAAGAAAAAAAAGAGAGUGGGAGGCAGAGAUGAAGUCCAACAUCGCCACCGGCUCUCUUCCUCCUCUGCAAGUCCGUCUCUCCAUCGCAGGAAAGGGUGGGAGUGCACUAAGGCCAGCCAGGGUGAGGCGUCAUGGGCUUGAGAAGCAUCCUGAACCCCGCUCGGUCAACAGCACCUCUGGAGCUCAGAACUCAGAUAGAAAUCAAUACAGGGAAAGAGAGACUGAUGCUGGAUCACCCAACCUAGCCCUGAGCCUGCAGGCCAGAUGACCUCCCACACACACAUGGUCAUACACGCUGACACACAUACAAAUACAUACUGACAUACAGCUAUACUAUCACACACACUCAUGACUACCACACACCUACACAUGCAUGUGUUUGUGGGUCUGGUUUUCCUCGAGGCUGUGUUAUUUUGGAGAAACCUCUACAAUCCAAACAGGCCUCAAUUAUUUUUUCGUGAAGAUGGCAAAGGUCCUCGCUUUGUGUUUCCCCCACUUUUGUGCCAUUUCUCUACUUGUGUCUGUCCAUGUCACCUUCCACCUCUAUGUGGCAAGAAAAAUCAUUCAAAUAUAUCAAAUAUCUACAAGGAUGGACUUCUUCCCCUGAGCAUCUCAUUGCUUAUUCAGUGGCAAGACUUGAAAGAGGAAAGCAGCUGUAUCACGUCCUGCUGUGCUCCACAACUCUGCACCAGAAACUCACUAUGCCUCUUCCGUAAUAGCCACUUCUUUCACAACCAACCAGCUCACAAGAUAGUCAGCAAAAGGGACACGUUCUGGUUCCUGAAUAUGGUGUGGACUUAACAAGAGACACAGCGUAAGAGACUGAGGAGCAAGCUGCUCAAAAAGGAAGAACAGCUGAGAAACUGAGGAAGAACAGCUGCUCAAAAAGUGAAUUCUUCAGCUAAGAUCGCUUACCUCAGUGAUAUAGACGAGGACAGGAGUGUGUGAUGAGACAGACAGCACUAUAGUGAAGACAGUGAUGUUCAGCUGCUCUCAUUCUGCUCGAAAACAGUGAGAGGAAAACACAGAUCAGAAUAUCACUGUGGGACUCGAGAGAUUUUUGUGAAGUACAAAAUGAGUUUCUGCUGAACUUACCUUUGCUCUCAGGCUGCUUUUGAUUAAUAACAUGGACAUUUCAUCAUGGCAUUUUUGUUCUCCGGGUUAUUUCAGAAAACUGGGCUGGCUACAAGAGGUAAGUAGAUAAAAAAAGUGGUAAGUAAUAUGCAUUAUUGAAAAAGAACCUAUGCAGAGAAGUUUAAAUUUUAUAUAUAUAAAUUAACAAAUGAUGCCAUAUGUGUGUACUUCUAUAUCUAUAUACUUCUAUCUAUAUGUUUUUAUUUUUAUUUAUUAAUUUUCACAAUUAAAAAAAGAUUCUUUCUAACUUGAUGUUAAUGUUAUGCGAUUUUUAAUAAAGUUUUUGAAUUCCA